rnacentral:rRNA from 1 species
UUGUUAAAUAUGCUAGUCCUUUCAUGAUUAUGUGAUAGGUGGUGCAUGGCCGUUCUUAGUUCGUGGAGUGAUCUGUCUGCUUAAUUGCGUUUCACUUAUUUUAUAGGAUCUAAUAUUAAUGAUGUGUGAGCGACUCGCAUGCUCUUGACCCACACUUGUUUACUCAGGUGGUCCGUGCGUCAUUAUAGGCUUUUGCUUGACCUCCCAUCUUUUAGCUAUCCUUUGAAAGCAACGAACGUGACCGCAACCUCUUGUUGCCUUCGUUUAACAUCCUACUGGCCUUUAUUGCGCUUGGUGGGUAUUGAGGGCUUCACUCAUUCACUUGAGUAAACUAGAGGGACCGCUGUCUACUUCUUAAACCAGAGGAAGGUUGCGGCAAUAACAGGUCUGUGAUGCCCUUAGAUGUUCCGGGCUGCACACGUGCUACAAUGAUUGUGGCAGUGAGCAUCUAUGAGAUUUACUUACAUGAGUUCGUGAAGUGUGCUUCGGCUCACGGAUCGACUCUAAAAGCCUGCUUUGAGAGCAAGUGGGUAAUCAAUUAGAAGUAACGAUUUCUUCGCAUUAGCACACUUAUAUACGGCGUUUAUGCCCGGGUCUCACUUGUUGAGGCCUCUGCGUGCG